rnacentral:lncRNA from 1 species
UCCAAUUAGCGAGGUAGUGGGCGAUUGUUACUCUUAACGAUCGAUUGUGAAUUGAAACCAUAUUUCAAUUCUCCCUUUUAUGAUUAGUGUAGCCUAAUCAUUAGGGCUUCCACAAACCAUGAGUGACACCUAGCAGUAUGUCAUGGUCACCCAAGCUAAGUAGAAUUGGUUGGAGAACCUAUCCAGUUACAACUACAAUGCAAUACAGUCAUUCUCUAAUACAAUACUCUUAAUCACAUUGUUUGAGUGAUAGUUUGUUUCAUGUCUACUAUCCAAUGUGAUACAUAUCUAUAUGAUUCCCUUGAAUAUGAUUUGGAACAAACUUCCUAAGUCAUAUUCAUAUGUUUUGGCCAAAGACUUUAGAAUCAUAUCUUAGAGUAUUCUCCUUCCACCAUGGAAGGUUAGAGAUCCCU